rnacentral:rRNA from 1 species
GACGAACGCUGGCGGCGUGCCUAAUACAUGCAAGUCGAACGCUGAAGGAGGAGCUUGUUUCUCUGGAUGAGUUGCGAUCGCGUGAGUAACGCGUAUGUAACCUGCCUUGCAGUGGGGGAUAACUUUUGGAAACGAUAGCUAAUACCGUAUAAGAGUAGAUGUUGCAUUACAUUUGCUUAAAAUUUGCAAUUUCAUCGCUUCCAGGAGGCUCUGCGUUGUAUUAGCUUUUUGGUGGGGUAACGGCUCACCACGGCGACGAUUCAUCGUCGAAUUGAGAGGGGGAUUGGCCAAACUGGGACUGAGAAACGGGCCAGAAUCCUUCGGGAGGCAGCCGUAGGGGAACUUCGGAAAGGGGCGGAAGUCUGACCGAGCAACGCCGCGGGAGUGGAGGAGGGUGUCAGGUCGUAAAGCUCUGUUGGAUGUGAAGAACGAGUAUGAGAGUAGAAAGUUCACACUGUGACGGUAGCUUACCAGAAAGAAACGGCUAACUACGUG